AUAACUCUUGCUUUCUUUAAAUUGUCACUUGUCGUUCACGGCGAAGCGCUUAUUUGACGUGAUUGUGUGUGUGUGUGUGUGUGCGUGUGUUUGUAUUUUAGUGGUCUAUAUGGACUUAAAAACGACGAGAGUUUGUUUUAUAUGUGCGAUAUAUGAAAAUUUCGCCUCUUUAUGUACGUUUGGAUCGUUGGGGAUGAACGAGGUACAUUAUUAUCAACAUACGUGCAAACAUGUACGUGAAUAUAGAUGACUAUAGAUGAAUGUCUGUGGUGGUCUGGCGCGCGGCGCGUUUAUGGUAAACGUUGUGUUUGCAUUUCUGUUGUUCCAUUUGUGCUGAUGACUGAUGUUAAAGUGCUGCUGCUCUGUUGGUUGGAUUUUGCUUGUUCGAUUGCUUUAAUGACUGACUGACUGUUUUGGUUUUGCUUGCUUGCUUGCUUGCCUGCUGAUUGUCUGGUUGUUGAAUGGUCUGAAUGGUUGUUGGGUUUGGCGCUGGCUGCGCACUCUUUUCGAAAAUAGUUACAAGAUGUUCAUCGAAGUGAGUAGAACAUCUGAACGGAUGAUAAAACUAUAGUUACGGGAAAGACAACUCUUAAUUUUUUUUUUUUUGGCUGGCUGGCUUUAAAGUAAGUGUGUAUAAGUGUAAUUAACAGAAAAUCCCUGUGUGUGAAGUCAUCAUCAUCAUCAUCAUCAUCAUUAUUAUCAUUGUCGUCGUCGUCGUCGGUUGUCGUUGUCAUCUCACAAAGCAACGAUGCAACAGUAACAACAACAACAACAACAGGAAUAACAUUAUUAUUAUUAUUAUUGUUGUGUUAAAAUACUAGCCAUCCUCUCGGGUUUGUGUGUCUCUUUGCCGUGUGUGUGUGUUUACGUUCUGCAUCUCGUCACUCGUUUAAUUCUUCUUUGACUCUGUGUGUUGCUGUCGCUGCUACUGCUGCUGCUAUAGCUGCUACGGUUUUCGAGUGUGGAAUAAAAAGUGAAAAAAAAGCAAAAACAAAAAAUGAAUUAAGAAUAAGUAGCAACAACAAUUUAAGCAGCCUAAGAGUAUUUAUCUGUAAGAGCUACCGAGAGUAUGUGUGUGCGCGUGUUAUAAUCUUUUAAAUGAUAUUUUCUUGGCGUAUAUUUUCACCACAUUUAUUAGAAUUCUGUUGUUUUUACUAACGUCGCCUGUGUAUGGAGAAGAAAUUCUAAACGCGCAAUAUGCUUAAAAAAAAAAUAUUUUAAGAAAAACAAAUUUUCUUUUCGCAAUGAAAUAAGGAGUUGAAAAGAAAAACAUUCUUAUUUUCCUUAUCGAGCGCAUUUCUUUCAAACGUUUAAGAGAAAUAAUUUCAAAUUUUAACAAAACAACAAAAAAAAAAAAUAAAAUAUCAA